GACGAACGCUGGCGGCGUGCUUAACACAUGCAAGUCGAACGGAAAGGCCCUGCUUUUGGGGGGUGCUCGAGUGGCGAACGGGUGAGUAACACGUGAGUAACCUGCCCUUGACUUUGGGAUAACUUCAGGAAACUGGGGCUAAUACCGGAUAGGAGCUCCUGCUGCAUGGUGGGGGUUGGAAAGUUUCGGCGGUUGGGGAUGGACUCGCGGCUUAUCAGCUUGUUGGUUGGGUAGUGGCUUACCAAGGCUUUGACGGGUAGCCGGCCUGAGAGGGUGACCGGCCACAUUGGGACUGAGUUACGGCCCAGACUCCUACGGGAGGGAGCAGUGGGGAAUAUUGCACAAGGGGUGGAAGCCUGAUGCAGCAACGCCGCGUGCGGGAAGACGGCCUUCGGGUGGUAAACCGCUUUCGCCUGUGACGAAGCGUGAGUGACGGUAAUGGGUAAAGAAGCACCGGCUAACUACGU
rnacentral:rRNA from 1 species